GGGAUACGUUCGUUGGGUAGGGGAGCGUUCUGUAAGCCAGUGAAGGUGUGUCGUGAGGCAUGCUGGAGGUAUCAGAAGUGCGAAUGCUGACAUAAGUAACGAUAAAGCGGGUGAAAAGCCCGCUCGCCGGAAGACCAAGGGUUCCUGUCCAACGUUAAUCGGGGCAGGGUGAGUCGACCCCUAAGGCGAGGCCGAAAGGCGUAGUCGAUGGGAAACGGGUUAAUAUUCCCGUACUUGGUGUUACUGCGAAGGGGGGACGGAGAAGGCUAUGUUGGCCGGGCGACGGUUGUCCCGGUUUAAGCGUGUAGGUGUGUGUUCCAGGUAAAUCCGGUUCACUUUAACACUGAGGCGUGAUGACGAGGCACUACGGUGCUGAAGCAACAAAUGCCCUGCUUCCAGGAAAAGCCUCUAAGCAUCAGGUAACAUCAAAUCGUACCCCAAACCGACACAGGUGGUCAGGUAGAGAAUACCAAGGCGCUUGAGAGAACUCGGGUGAAGGAACUAGGCAAAAUGGUGCCGUAACUUCGGGAGAAGGCACGCUGACACGUAGGUGAAG
rnacentral:rRNA from 1 species